rnacentral:rRNA from 1 species
GUGGGGAAUUUUGGACAAUGGGCGCAAGCCUGAUCCAGCAAUGCCGCGUGUGUGAAGAAGGCCUUCGGGUUGUAAACCGCUUUUGUCAGGGAAGAAAUCCUUUGGGUUAAUACCUCGGAGGGAUGACGGUACCUGAAGAAUAAGCACCGGCUAACUACGUGCCAGCAGCCGCGGUAAUACGUAGGGUGCGAGCGUUAAUCGGAAUUACUGGGCGUAAAGCGUGCGCAGGCGGUUUUGUAAGAUCGAUGUGAAAUCCCCGGGCUCAACCUGGGAACUGCAUUGGUGACUGCAAGGCUGGAGUGCGGCAGAGGGGGAUGGAAUUCCGCGUGUAGCAGUGAAAUGCGUAGAUAUGCGGAGGAACACCGAUGGCGAAGGCAAUCCCCUGGGCCUGCACUGACGCUCAUGCACGAAAGCGUGGGGAGCAAACAGGAUUAGAAACCCCAGUAGUCC